rnacentral:rRNA from 1 species
GACGGACGCUGGCGGCGUGCCUAAUACAUGCAAGUCGAGCGAAGUUUUUCUGGUGCUUGCACUAGAAAAACUUAGCGGCGAACGGGUGAGUAACACGUAAAGAACCUGCCUCAUAGACUGGGACAACUAUUGGAAACGAUAGCUAAUACCGGAUAACAGUACUUCUCGCAUGAGAGAUAUUUAAAAGUUGGUUAUGCUAACACUAUGAGAUGGCUUUGCGGUGCAUUAGCUAGUUGGCGGGGUAAAGGCCCACCAAGGCGACGAUGCAUAGCCGACCUGAGAGGGUGAUCGGCCGCACUGGGGCUGGGACACGGCCCAGACUCCUACGAGAGGCAGCAGUAGGGAAUCUUCCGCAAUAGGCGGGAGCCUGGCGGAGCAACGCCGCGUGAGUGAAGAAGGAUUUCGGUUCGUAAAGAUCUGUUGUUAGGGGAGAAUGGAUAUGUAGUAACUAUACAUGUGAGAGACGGUACCUAGCCAGAAAGCCACGGCUAACUACGUG